GACUUUUUGUCCAUGGGACAGACUUGUGAAGGAGCUCAUGGAUGAGAGAAGAGUUCUUGUUGAGUUGUUGUUCAAACGCGAUUCGAUAAGCAUCAGCAGUAAGCCGCGCUUCUUCUUCAUUGUGGCGGGAAAUCUCUAACUGAAAAGCGGAAAAAGAUUGCAAAUGGUCACAAAAUGGGAUAAAAAGAAGGAAAGGAAAMGAAAGGCACAUGAAAGGGGAACAAAAAAAAUUGAAAAAAUCCCACUCCCGAAAAAAAUUCCAUCCAUUUUUUUUUUGUUUUGUUUUGUUUUGUUUUUUGAAUCCAAUGUAAUGUUGUGUCUUUACCUGUUUCGUAAUUCUCCCAAACUCUCUCUUGGCUUCCACAGCUGCCCUGGCGCAUGAGCAUGGUUCCUGGUUGUGACCACGACACUGACAGGCACCAAGUGUUGCAAGCUAAAGAACAAGACAUCAUGAGUACCUUGGAUAACAGGGUCCAUCCUCUGCAGGUGACGAUUCUCCUUUAAUUCUGUCCCUUACUUCAAGAGCAGCUACAAGUUCAUCUCUUUCUCGUACCAAGGCUGAAUAUAUAAGCAAUUAAGACUGAUUGACCCUGGUUACUCAAGGGCAAGCUUGCGAAGCUCAUCUGACCUGGUGUGGAGCGCGACAAGAAGAGCAGCAUUCUCUGACGCAACUCGGUCAAAUCUCUGAGCCCAUGUCUGCUCACUGUCCAUCAGUUGUUUGCUAGCAUCAACAGCCUUCUUCGUUAUCCUGCGAUGAUGUGCCUGCUCCAGACGAGAGUGCAUAUGUAAUGCUUUAACAGCGCCAUACUUCUCAAGAAGCUCCUUUUGACAGUGUUCCAGCUGAUUUCCCGUCUGGUGACCGUCGUGGGGUUUGAGGAAGUGGUGGCAAUCCACCUGGUUUGAAACCAAAACCAAGUCCAAGAUCAUCUGAUUCAAAAAACGCAUCGUCUUCUAUCCCAG